rnacentral:lncRNA from 1 species
UUACGUACUAGUUGUCAGUGUCCUAGAGAUGAAACAAUGCUAGCUGAUUAUCCUACCUCUGUUAAUACUACCUGAGGAAUGAUUUUUUUUAAAGCGCUACCCAUUUCUCCCUCCCUCGACCUUUCUCCCCUCAAGGCGAUCGAUAUUUUCCGUGCUUCUUCUCCAUCGUAUUCUCCGUCUGCGUUUUUUCUUCUCGGCGACCGCAUUUUUUUUCUUUGGCAUACUCUCCGUCUGCGGUGUGUUUUCUUGUUUUUUCUUACUGCGUUUUUUUUUCUUCAUCGUACCUUCUAUUCUUUUCCGAAAAAAUUUUGAACCCAUUUUUUUUUCCCAAAACAUUUUUUAGAUAAAUGUUACGAUCUCCACAUUUUCUUUUGUCUACAUUGCAAAUAAUGAUUUUGGCAGUUACCUUUGAAACGGUUUUUUUUUAAUCAAAAUCCUAGUUUAUCCUAUAUAAAGACUUUUUUGUUCAUAGCAGUUGUCGGAAGACUGUAAGUCGUUGGUUUCUUCUCUAUAUGUUAUUCUCAGGUAUUUCCUAUUGACAUCAUUAUUUAGAACUUGAAUGUUUUUAUUUUUCUCUGUUAUUGAUUUUAUCGGUUCUUAUUUUUUUUGUUCUUUAUUCUCUUAAAAAUCGGAUGUUUGUUUUUUUAUUUUUGAUAAUCGCAUGUUUGUUUUUUUCGCUAUCUCACUUAUUUGUCUAAAAAAUCUGAUGUCUGUUUAUAACGUUUUGUGUUUUUCUCUGUAUUUGAACAUGUUAUAUUUUUUUGGUUUCUAUUUUUUUUUAAAAUGUGUUGUUUUUUAUUUCUCUCUGUUGUUAUUUAUCUGUAUUUUUUAAUUUUUUAUAAUCACAUGUUCGUUUAGUUCACUAUUUUUUAUUUAUUUAAACAUUUAAUGUUUGUUUAUAUCUCGGUUUUCUUCAAUGUAGUUGCCAUAGAAAAUAUCUGUUAAUUUCCUGCUGGCCCAACGUCGGCGGUGAUAAUGCUGAUGUAUCCCUGAGCAUUGGAUGGAAGAAAUGGUUGGGCGUCGCCAUAUGGGAACUAGGGUUUUCCGCCUAGGAGAAAAGGGGCACCCAACUGAUAAAACGGUCACUAAGAAAAGAGAGGAAGAGAGAGUGAACUUUUGUUAAUCACUAAUGGUGAUUAACUUUGUAUUAGAGUAAUUAAAUCAUUGUUUAUCGAAUUGUAUUUAUACAUUUAAUCAGUGAAUGCUUAACUAACUAAUCUCUCACUAGUUAAUUAACAUUUAACUAAAUCUAAUACUAAACUUCACUUGUGGGCCGGACUUCACGCUGUGGUCUUCCAUGAGUCCAGUCUGUGGCUGUUAAUUCAGUUACGACAUUUCUGCAAGAACACAUAAGUUAUUCAUGAAUGACAACCAAGUCCUUCAUUUAAUUUGGUUUUAUUUUUGGGUCAUUUAACCAAGUAUCCUUAUAUGUUUAAUUAAUAAAGAACACUUGGAUAUUUAUAACCCAGUCCUUUCAUGAAUCUCUUUAACUGAUUUCGUAACGCCCUUUUAUUUAUUUUUAUUACGUUUGGGUCCUAAUAACGUUUUACUGAAACAUUUAUGAAUUAGACCCUGUUAGUUAAUUACGUACUAACAGUUAAUUCUGUUUUAACACGCCCUUUGGGUUGUGUUUAUUUCAAUUAGGUCCUUAGCUCAUGUUUAUUGUAAAUUGUUGUUUUAACCCUGGAUUUCAGCAUAAUAAUCUUAUACUCCCCUCUCAAGCUUUGGAAUAUGCAUUGUAUAUUCCUAGUUUGACAGAGAAUGCUGAGAUCUCAUUCUCUUCUAGGGAUUUUGUGAAUAUAUCUGCAAGUUGGUAUUUAGUUCCUACUUGCUUUAGUAAGAUUAUCCCUUUAUCUAUCAUUUCUCUAAUGGAAUGACAUGAGAUCUCUAUAUGCUUACUCCUCUCAUGAAAUACUGGAUUAUUAGUAAGAUAUAUUGCUGAUUUAUUGUCACAGUAUAGAGAAGUGGGCAUCUGUAUUUCCAACUUUAGAUCUUUAAAAAGUUGGUGUAGCCAAAGCACUUCACAUUGUGCUUUACUGAUGGCUCUGUAUUCAGCCUCACAAGAUGAGAGUGAAACAGUGUUUUGUUUCUUAGACUUCCAAGAAAUUAAGGAUGUUCCUAAAAACAUGCAAUAUCUUGAUAAUGACUUCCUUCUCACUGAGCAAGAAGCCCAAUCUGAAUCACAAUAUCCAUGAAGAUUCAUUUCAUUUUUGCUUUUAUAUAAAAUGCCCUGGUCAGGAGCAUUUUUAAGAUAUCUUAUCACCUUAAACAGGACUUGAAAGUGAAUUUCAUUUGGAUUUCCCAUGAACUGGCUCAGCCAAUGAACAGGGAAACUUAGGUCAGGUCUAGUGAUAUUUAAGUAUAUGAGCUUGCCUACUAAUGACCUAUAUAGAGUUGGGUCUGUUAUUGCCUUUGCUUGCUCAUUUCUUAAAUUCACAUACCUUUCCAUGGGUACUUUUGAUGGCUUUGCAUCCAUUUGACCACUUUUUUCAAGUAUGCCUAAUGCAUAUUUUCUCUGUGAUAUAUAUAUCCCUUCUGAUGGAUAUGAAACCUCAAUGCCUAAGAAAUAGGAUAAUUUUCCUAAAUCUUUUAUUUUAAAUUUUUUUUCAAUGUUUUUUUUUAUUAGAAACAUUUCUGUUUCAUUGUUCCCUGUAAUGAUAAUGUUAUCUACAUAUACUAACAAGUAUAUCAGAUUAUCAUUAUUGGUUUUUACAAACAGUGAAUAAUCAGAAGGUGUUUGUACAAAACCCAUUUUAAGUAAAACUCCCUUUAACUUAGCAAACCAGUUUCUGGAUGCUUGUUUUAAGCCAUAGAGAGACUUAUUUAGUUUACACACCCUUUUGUCUUCUUCUUUGAGGAGUCCUUGGGGUGGUUUGAGAUAUACUUCUUCAUGAAGGUCUCCAUGGAAAAAGGCAUUGUUAACAUCUAGUUGAUAGAUGUUCCAUUUUUUUAUUGCUGAAAUUACAAUUAUUGUUUUGAUUGUGGUCAUUUUGACUACAUGAGCAAAAGUUUCAUAGUAGUCAAAACCCUCUUUUUGGGUGAACCCUUUUGCUACAAAUCUAGCCUUGUAUCUCUCUAUUUCACCAUUAGGCCUAUACUUAAUUUUAAAAAUCCACUUGGAUCCUAUAAGCUUCCUAUCCUGAGGAAGUGUAGUUAAAGUCCAAGUUUCAUUUAGAAGGAGUGCAUCCAUCUCUUUCUUCAUUGCUUCUACCCAAUUUGAGUUCUUAGAAGCUUCUGAGAAAGUUUGAGGUUCAUCAUGUAUUGAUAUUUGAUGAAGAAAUUUUUUAUGAUUUUUUUUAAUCUUAUUGUAUGAAACUUGAUUACAUAUUGGGUAUUUCCCUUUUUUUUUUGUUAUUUUUAUAUUCUUUAUCAUCUUCAAGAAAAAAAUCCUUAUAAGCUUUUGGAAUAUGGAUGACUCUGCCUGUUCUUGUUUUUUUUCAUUUACUUGAUUUUUUGAACUUGUGCAGGGGAUAUCUCUUUUUUGUUCAAGAUAACCAACUGUCAUUUCAGUUGUACUAUUUUGUUUUUCUACUUAUACUCCAAUGUCUGAUGAUCUUGUGUCAUCAUUUUGAAUACUUUCAGAAUUGGAGAAAUUCUGAGUAUUUUCAGAGUUUUGGGCAGUAUGCUCAGGAUUCCUGUUGUUUUGUGAGUUAUAAUCUAACUCAUCAUUUCAUCAUUCCUGUUUCUGUCCACACUAACAUUUUCCACAUGAUUGGGUGUAUGAAUUAGUGUAUUAUUUGAUUCAGACUGGAUUGGAUUUAUUUGAUCAUUUUUUGAUCUAUUGUCUGAACUUUUUUUAGUAUUUCCAGAGCUUCUGAUAUUCUGUGAGUUAUGACUUAACUCAACGUGUUCAUUAUUUUUGCUCACACUGAUAUUUUUCAUUUGAUUAGGCAUAUGAAUUUGUGAGUUAUGAGUUCCAGAUUGUUCUGGAUCUAUUUGAUCAUUUUCUGAUCUAUUUUCUGAAUGGUUUUUCUUGUUUUAUGAUCUUAUUUCCAGAUCAUUGAUUAUUUUUUUGUUUUAUUUUUAUGAUGUUUUUUAUAGUCAUACCAUGACUUAUUUACAUCAUCAUGAUAUAAAAAAAUAUUGUUAUAGCAGUUUUGAAAAUUGUUCUCUUUUUGUGUAUUUUCUAGACUAAGUUCAUAUUUGAAUGGGAAUAUAGAUUCUCUAAAUGACACAUCCCUAGAGAUAAUGAACUUUCUAUCUGAAAUUCUUAAUAUAAGAUAUCCUUUAAUUCCUUUGGGAUAUCCCAUAAAGAUCCCUUGACAAGUUUUUGGUGAAAACUUGUUUUCUACUUGUGUGACUGAGGCAUAACAUAGGCAACCAAAAGAUUUUAGAUUUUCAUAAUUUGGUAUUUUCUUAUGAAUGACUUCAUAGGGUGUUUUGUUUUCUAAGGUUUUGGAGGCAAUUCUAUUAAUUAAGUGGGCUGCUGUUAGUAUGCAUUCCCCCCAAUAUUCUAAUGGAAUAUUCCCUUGAAAAUGUAAUGCCCUUGCAAUAUUUAAAAGGUGCCUAUGUUUUCUCUCUACCCUUGCAUUUUGGGCAGGUGUGCAGGGGCAUGAGAACUGUUGAACAAUCUCAUGUUUUUCAGUCAUUUUUUUUAAAUUGUUAGAAGUGAAUUCUCCUCCAUUAUCACUUCUAAUGAUUUUUAUUUUAGUUUUGAAUUGAGUUUUAACCAUUUUGUAAAACUUUUCAACACACUCUAUAUCCAUUGAUUUAUUUUUGACUAGAUAUAUCCAAGUACCUCUACUUAGAUCUUCUACAAUGGUUAAGAAAUAAUUAAACCCAUCAUGGGUCAUUAUUGGAAAUUCCCCCCAUAUAUCUAUGUGAAUUAGAUCAAAAAUAUUCUCAGAUUUAGAAGAACUAAUUAUAUAUUUAAGUUUAGCUUGUUUAGUUAAUGGACAUAUUCUACAAUCAUACUGAAUAGACUUUAUUUUAUUGAAAACUGAAUUUUUGUCAAAAAAUUUAUUCCUACAAUCUGGAAUUUUUUUGUUCUUAUUACAAUCUGAAAUAACACUAUUACAAUCUGUAUUUUUGUAUCUAAUCUUGUAUUGAGAAACUAAUGUCUUCAUUUUUUCAGAAGAAAUGUGUCCCAAUCUUUGAUGUCAAGUCUUGAAGUCUAUGACCGAGUUUGCUAAAAAAUGAUGUGGGGUGAAAAAAUACAGUCCAUCAGUAGACUCACCCUUGCCAAUCAUUAAAUAUUUUCUCGGAUUUGUUUUCCUGAAAUUGAAAACAAUGAUCAUUAAAUAUUACUUUAAUGUCAUUGUCUAGAGUUAACUUGCUUAUAGCUAUUAGGUUAACUUUAAACUCAGGGAUAUACAAUACAUUUUUUAGUAUCAAAUUUUCAGAUAUUUUUAUGCAACCCAUUCCUUGAACCAUUAAUAUUUUACCACUAGGUAUAGUUACAAAGUGGUUAUAUUCUUUGAUCAAUGGGUUGGUGAAUAAGUGUAGAUUACCUGUCAUAUGUUGUGGUGCUCCUGUAUCUACAAUCCAUUUAUCAAUAUAAUUAUUUGUAUUGAAAGAAAAAGAAAAUUUAUUACCAGUAUUUAUUUUUGUUGAGGAAAUGAGUUCCUUGAAUAGUUGGAUUUCCUCUUGAGUUAGCACUAGUUGUUGAUUACUUGAAGAAGUUGCUAGAUUUGCAAAUUCUGAAACAGUGGUAGUGCUGCCCUGGUUUUUCUUUGCUUGGAUUUUUUUUUGUAAUUUUUCUUUUCCUGGUUUGCCUACUGAAACGGUUGUUGGCAGAUACCAUGUUAAUUUCCUGCUGGCCCAACGUCGGCGGUGAUAAUGCUGAUGUAUCCCUGAGCAUUGGAUGGAAGAAAUGGUUGGGCGUCGCCAUAUGGGAACUAGGGUUUUCCGCCUAGGAGAAAAGGGGCACCCAACUGAUAAAACGGUCACUAAGAAAAGAGAGGAAGAGAGAGUGAACUUUUGUUAAUCACUAAUGGUGAUUAACUUUGUAUUAGAGUAAUUAAAUCAUUGUUUAUCGUGUAUUUAUACAUUUAAUUAAUGAAUGCUUAACUAACUAAUCUCUCACUAGUCAAUUAACAUUUAACUAAAUCUAAUACUAAACUUUACUUGUGGGCCGAACUUCACGCUGUGGCCUUUCAGUCUGUGGCUGUUAAUUCAGUUACGACAUUUAUGCAAAAACACAUAAGUUAUUCAUUAAUGACAACUAGGUCCUUCAUUUAACUUGGUUUUAUUUUUGGGUCAUUUAACCAAGUAUCCUUAUAUGUUUAAUUAAUAAAGAAUAUUUGGAUAUUUAUAACCCAGUCCUUUCAUGAAUCUCUUUAACUGAUUUCGUAACGCCCUUUUAUUUAUUUUUAUUACGUUUGGAUCCUAAUAACGUUUUACUGAAACAUUUAUGAAUUAGACCCUGUUAGUUAAUUACUAACAGUUAAUUCUGUUUUAACACGCCCUUUGGGUUGUGUUUAUUUCAAUUAG